AGACCCGAAACCCGGUGAUCUAGCCAUGGGCAGGUUGAAGGUUGGGUAACACUAACUGGAGGACCGAACCGACUAAUGUUGAAAAAUUAGCGGAUGACCUGUGGCUGGGGGUGAAAGGCCAAUCAAACCGGGAGAUAGCUGGUUCUCCCCGAAAGCUAUUUAGGUAGCGCCUCGUGAAUUCAUCUCCGGGGGUAGAGCACUGUUUCGGCUAGGGGGCCAUCCCGGCUUACCAACCCGAUGCAAACUGCGAAUACCGGAGAAUGUUAUCACGGGAGACACACGGCGGGUGCUAACGUCCGUCGUGAAGAGGGAAACAACCCAGACCGCCAGCUAAGGUCCCAAAGUCAUGGUUAAGUGGGAAACGAUGUGGGAAGGCCCAGACAGCCAGGAUGUUGGCUUAGAAGCAGCCAUCAUUUAAAGAAAGCGUAAUAGCUCACUGGUCGAGUCGGCCUGCGCGGAAGAUGUAACGGGGCUAAACCAUGCACCGAAGCUGCGGCAGCGAACGUAUCACUUAAAGCGAUUCAGCGGGUUACGAUUGACGGAGCGAAGCGACGUCAAAGCGUAUACAAAGUCGAGUCGGUUUAAGGAUACGUUCGUUGGGUAGGGGAGCGUUCUGUAAGCCUGCGAAGGUGGCCUGUGAGGGUUGCUGGAGGUAUCAGAAGUGCGAAUGCUGACAUAAGUAACGAUAAAGCGGGUGAAAAGCCCGCUCGCCGGAAGACCAAGGGUUCCUGUCCAACGUUAAUCGGGGCAGGGUGAGUCGACCCCUAAGGCGAGGCCGAAAGGCGUAGUCGAUGGGAAACGGGUUAAUAUUCCCGUACUUGGUGUUACUGCGAAGGGGGGACGGAGAAGGCUAUGUUGGCCGGGCGACGGUUGUCCCGGUUUAAGCGUGUAGGUGUGUGUUCCAGGUAAAUCCGGUUCACUUUAACACUGAGGCGUGAUGACGAGGCACUACGGUGCUGAAGCAACAAAUGCCCUGCUUCCAGGAAAAGCCUCUAAGCAUCAGGUAACAUCAAAUCGUACCCCAAACCGACACAGGUGGUCAGGUAGAGAAUACCAAGGCGCUUGAGAGAACUCGGGUGAAGGAACUAGGCAAAAUGGUGCCGUAACUUCGGGAGAAGGCACGCUGACACGUAGGUGAAGUGAUUUACUCAUGGAGCUGAAGUCAGUCGAAGAUACCAGCUGGCUGCAACUGUUUAUUAAAAACACAGCACUGUGCAAACACGAAAGUGGACGUAUACGGUGUGACGCCUGCCCGGUGCCGGAAGGUUAAUUGAUGGGGUCAGCGCAAGCGAAGCUCCUGAUCGAAGCCCCGGUAAACGGCGGCCGUAACUAUAACGGUCCUAAGGUAGCGAAAUUCCUUGUCGGGUAAGUUCCGACCUGCACGAAUGGCGUAAUGAUGGCCAGGCUGUCUCCACCCGAGACUCAGUGAAAUUGAACUCGCUGUGAAGAUGCAGUGUACCCGCGGCAAGACGGAAAGACCCCGUGAACCUUUACUAUAGCUUGACACUGAACAUUGAGCCUUGAUGUGUAG
rnacentral:rRNA from 2 species